AUCCCUUUGAUGCUCCCACGGAAGCAAGGGAUUAUUGUUAACAUGUCUUCCGGAUGGGGAAGAUCUGGUGCUGCCCUGGUGAGUUUCAGUCUUCACUUAAUUGAAUCACCAUAGUAUGUUUGUUCGUAUAGUUACAGAAACGUAGUAACAAAGACAGUAAAACAUAGUAGGAUUUUUUUUGAAUUUAAUUUCUAGCUAGACUUUGUUCGGAUGUGGAAAUGAUGUUGGAUACCUCUCUAAUAAGUUUAAGUGAAGCCGGAACCUUGUCACUGAUGUCGGAGUAAACAUUCCAAAGUUAUCAUAUAUGGAAUGAGGAAACACGGUGAAUUGAUAACAUAGAGCAAAUUACUUGGUUGGUCCCCUUUGUCAUUGUAGAUAACUUUGUUCUGACAGUCUCCUUCUGUACUCUGCAUUUCUGCACUGCACGUAUAUGAUUUUGGGCGUAUCAUCAAACCUGAUCCUAAAGAGGUUAACUUUUGAAAACAUAACUGAAUCUGCAGGUUGCACCUUACUGUGCAUCGAAAUGGGCGAUUGAGGGUUUAAGCCGAUCAGUGGCAAAGGAGGUAGCCGAAGGAAUGGCAGUGGUUGCAUUAAA
rnacentral:lncRNA from 1 species